GCAGCCUUGCGCGCGCCCGCAGAGGGAGAGGGCGGUGGUUAGCACCUGCUCGCGUCCGCGUGCACCGAGCACAGCCAGCCGCGUACCCCGGACUCCCCCAGUGCUAGGUGCUGAGGCCCACGCACCCUGGCACCCUGGUCUCCUUGUCCUGCUGGCCGUUGUGGUUUGUGGCACCUGUGUCCUCUGGCUGGGCGUCGACUGUCAGUUCUCCCCUGGGCUCUGUCUUGGGCCCCUACUCUUCUGCCCUCGUACCUCUGCUUAUGCCAUCGCAUCCUCCCCGAGUCUUUGAUGAUUUGUCCCUCUCUGAUGGCCGCAGUACCACAGCUCCAGCCCACAUCUUCCACGUUUCAGGACUUUUCCAGGACAUUGCAGGCAAACGGAGCGACAUGUAGAACAGCAGAAGCAAGGAACUGCAGAACUCGUUAAUUCAAAUGCAACAUGGCGAGGUUCCAUAGCAGCCCACGUGGACGUUGUGAGGGUAAAAAAGGAGGAAAUGCAUUUUACAUACAUAAGGUACUACUAACAAGAAUAUGCGUUUAAAGUUCCUAGAUGCAUGCCCCAACAAUAACUGUGGUAUCUGCAUGGAUUUCAUUAGGGCUUUUCCUGCGAAGAGUGUAAAACUCUUAAAUAUAUCAUAAAAUAUUAUUGGCAGUGGUGUUAGGAGAGGAAAUUAGUCACCAAACAAAACAGACAAGAAAACCGUGAAACCUGACAAGGACAGUGUGUUGGAGUUAGGGGAUAUCCAACGGAGGGUGAGAUCAGCCUCACCCAAAGAAAGGUGAGAAUUUGCCUGACAGAUGGGAAUCCAAAGAGCGGGAGGAGAGGGAGCUCAUUCAGGUAGAUGGAACGACAUGUAUAACCAUGCGGGGGCAUGAAACGGGCCACAUUCUCUUUGAUCGGUAAUUAUGCCUAUACAUAGAAAAUUGCAUAGACCAUUCAAACAAGUUUGAGGUCUUGGUUUUCUCUCUCAGAGGGUUUAUAACGUAACUGAAUAGGUCAGGUGCAAGUAUGGGAAGAAGAUAUUGACAAUAUGUGAUGGAAGCCUGAUAACAUAAAUUUUGUCGGAUGAAUGAAUGAUGACAGGAUGUGCUGAAUGCCAAAUGGCUGAUGCCAACUGUGAGAUCUUCAAGGGGCACAGGGCAGGGGAUAUUCAUUUUUGGAUGGGUGCUAUGACCUGACUUCUUUUACCACUGUCAUCCUGCUGCCGGGUGGAAAAUAAAAUAUAAAAGGGAGGCA
rnacentral:lncRNA from 1 species